GCGAGGAUCGGUGUACGAGUUCUUGAAGCGGUGCUGACUCGCCGGUAAUCGGAUCGCUCCAGAUUGUUCAGGUCUAUAAGGCGUCAUGCGACUCCUCUUCAUCUCUUGACGUACUCAUCAUGAUCUGAGAGCGCGACGUUGAAAUAGAAUGACUCGUUGUGCUCAACGAACUGGAGGCCAACGAAGGCGUGCUUGCCGGUGCCGUCCUUGAUCUUAAGGACGAAGAAGCGUGACAAGCUGAGCAUGGUCUCGACGGAGGUCGUUGGAGUUUGGAUCCUCUGGUCGGAUCUCGCGCUGGUCCUUGCAUGACACUACCCAGAGCUGACUCAUCCAGAUCUUGUCGGACUUGAGCCACUCGCCGCAAUUGUACCUGCCGGAUGUCGACUGCAGUGGGGUUUUGUAGACCGCGACCUCGCACACCAGCAGCAGCUUCAGAAUCCUCAUCGUCGCCGUGAUCCAUCUCCCUCGUC
rnacentral:lncRNA from 1 species